rnacentral:rRNA from 1 species
CCUACGGGAGACAGCAGUGAGGAAUAUUGGUCAAUGGACGAGAGUCUGAACCAGCCAAGUAGCGUGAAGGAUGACUGCCCUAUGGGUUGUAAACUUCUUUUAUAUGGGAAUAAAACGUUCCACGUGUGGGAUUUUGUAUGUACCAUAUGAAUAAGGAUCGGCUAACUCCGUGCCAGCAGCCGCGGUAAUACGGAGGAUCCGAGCGUUAUCCGGAUUUAUUGGGUUUAAAGGGAGCGUAGGUGGAUUGUUAAGUCAGUUGUGAAAGUUUGCGGCUUAACCGUAAAAUUGCAGUUGAAACUGGCAGUCUUGAGUACAGUAGAGGUGGGCGGAAUUCGUGGUGUAGCGGUGAAAUGCUUAGAUAUCACGAAGAACUCCGAUUGCGAAGGCAGUUCACUGGACUGCAACUGACACUGAGGCUCGAAAGUGUGGGUAUCAAACAGGAUUAGAUACCCGAGUAGUC